ensembl:snRNA U1 U1 spliceosomal RNA
AUAUUUACCUAGCAGCGAAAAGAUUGUGUUUACGAAGGUGGUUUUUUUUCAGGACGAAUUUAAUUCGUCCAACUUCCCCAAAUAGUGGGAAGCUCGACUGCAUAGUUUGUGGUGGUGGGGACCGCGUUCGCGCAUUUCUCUC